rnacentral:rRNA from 1 species
GAGCCCGCACAAGCAGUGGAGUAUGUGGUUUAAUUCGAUGCAACGCGAAGAACCUUACCAGAGCUUGACAUCCCAAGAAAGCCGAUGUAAUGUUGGCCGUGCCCUUCGGGGAACUUGGUGACAGGUGGUGCAUGGUUGUCGUCAGCUCGUGUCGUGAGAUGUUGGGUUAAGUCCCGCAACGAGCGCAACCCUUACGGUUAGUUGCUACGCAAGAGCACUCUAGCCGGACUGCCGUUGACAAAACGGAGGAAGGUGGGGACGACGUCAAAUCAUCAUGCCCCUUACGUUCUGGGCUACACACGUACUACAAUGGCGUAAACAACGGGGAGCGAAAGCGCGAGCCGGAGCAAAUCCUCAAAAUACGCCUCAGUUCAGAUUGCAGGCUGCAACUCGCCUGCAUGAAGUCGGAAUUGCUAGUAAUCGCGGAUCAGCAUGUCGCGGUGAAUACGUUCCCGGGCUUU